rnacentral:rRNA from 1 species
CUACGGGUGGCUCCAGUGAGGAAUAUUGCACAAUGGGGGGAACCCUGAUGCAGCAACGCCGCGUGGAGGAUGACGCAUUUCGGUGUGUAAACUCCUUUUAUAUGUCAAGAAAAUGACGGUAGCAUAUGAAUAAGCGCCGGCUAACUCCGUGCCAGCAGCCGCGGUAAUACGGAGGGCGCAAGCGUUACUCGGAAUCACUGGGCGUAAAGGACGCGUAGGCGGGUUGAAAAGUCAGGUGUGAAAGCCUACAGCUUAACUGUAGAACUGCACUUGAAACUCUCAAUCGAGAGUAUGGGAGGGGCAGAUGGAAUUAGUGGUGUAGGGGUAAGAUCCGUAGAUAUCACUAGGAAUACCUAAAGCGAAGGCGAUCUGCUGGAACAUUACUGACGCUAAGGCGUGAAAGCGUGGGGAGCAAACAGGAUUAGAUACCCCAGUAGUC